rnacentral:rRNA from 1 species
UACGGAGGGAGCUAGCGUUGUUCGGAAUUACUGGGCGUAAAGCGCACGUAGGCGGCUUUGUAAGUUAGAGGUGAAAGCCCGGGGCUCAACUCCGGAACUGCCUUUAAGACUGCAUCGCUUGAAUCCAGGAGAGGUGAGUGGGAUUCCGAGUGUAGAGGUGAAAUUCGUAGAUAUUCGGAAGAACACCAGUGGCGAAGGCGGCUCACUGGACUGGUAUUGACGCUGAGGUGCGAAAGCGUGGGGAGCAAACAGG